AUACGGAGGAUCCGAGCGUUAUCCGGAUUUAUUGGGUUUAAAGGGUGCGCAGGCGGCCAUUUAAGUCAGCGGUUAAAUCGGGGGGCUCAACCCCAUUCUGCCGUUGAUACUGGGUGGCUUGAUUGCGGUCGAGGUUGGCGGAAUUCGUUGUGUAGCGGGGAAAUGCAUAGAUAUGACGAAGAACACCGAUUGCGUAGGCAGCUGACCAGACCGCAAAUGACGCUCAUGCACGAAAGUGCGGGGAUCGAACAGGAUUAGAUACCCUGGUAGUCCGCACAGUAAACGAUGAAUACUUGUUUUCGGCGAUAUAAUGUCGGAGGCAAAGCGAAAGCGAUAAGUAUUCCACCUGGGGAGUACGCCGGCAACGGUGAAACUCAAAUGAAUUGACGGGG
rnacentral:rRNA from 1 species